rnacentral:rRNA from 1 species
UUGAACGCUGGCGGCAUGCUUUACACAUGCAAGUCGAACGGCAGCACGGGGGCAACCCUGGUGGCGAGUGGCGAACGGGUGAGUAAUAUAUCGGAACAUGUCCGGAAGUGGGGGAUAACGUACCGAAAGGUACGCUAAUACCGCAUAUGCCCUGAGGGGGAAAGGAGGGGAUCGCAAGACCUUUCGCUUUCGGAGUGGCCGAUAUCAGAUUAGCUAGUUGGUGAGGUAAAGGCUCACCAAGGCGACGAUCUGUAGCUGGUCUGAGAGGACGACCAGCCACACUGGGACUGAGACACGGCCCAGACUCCUACGGGAGGCAGCAGUGGGGAAUUUUGGACAAUGGGGGCAACCCUGAUCCAGCCAUGCCGCGUGAGUGAAGAAGGCCUUCGGGUUGUAAAGCUCUUUCAGCCGGAAAGAAAUCGUGCGGGCUAAUACCCUGUAUGGAUGACGGUACCGGAAGAAGAAGCACCGGCUAACUACGU